UACGAAGGGGGCUAGCGUUGCUCGGAAUCACUGGGCGUAAAGGGUGCGUAGGCGGGUCUUUAAGUCAGGGGUGAAAUCCUGGAGCUCAACUCCAGAACUGCCUUUGAUACUGAGGAUCUUGAGUACGGGAGAGGUGAGUGGAACUGCGAGUGUAGAGGUGAAAUUCGUAGAUAUUCGCAAGAACACCAGUGGCGAAGGCGGCUCACUGGCCCGUAACUGACGCUGAGGCACGAAAGCGUGGGGAGCGAACAGG
rnacentral:rRNA from 1 species